rnacentral:RNase_P_RNA from 1 species
GUUGGUGGGUAAUUGCGUGUUGCUUUAAGCAGCAUGAGGAAAGUCCAUGCUCGCACUGACUGUGAUGUCAGUAGUGUUCGUGCUAGCUGAAAAAAUAAGGCUAGGCAGCUUGUAAAAGUUGACGGCCAACGAACAACCUAACGGCUUGCCUAUGGUUUAAUAGUUGUGAAAGUGCCACAGUGACGAACCAAUCAAGAAAUUGAUUGGGUGGAACGCGGUAAACCCCUCGAGCGGGCAACCCAAACUUUGGUAGGGGCGCUUGACCUAGCGAAUUGAAGUGAUGGUCGGGGAGACAGUAAUGUCUGAGAUAGAUGAUUACCACUGUAAAUAGUCUGCCACAUUAUUUGCAGAACAAAACAUGGCUUACAGCU